rnacentral:rRNA from 1 species
CCUACGGGUGGCUGCAGUGGGGAAUCUUCCGCAAUGGGCGAAAGCCUGACGGAGCAACGCCGCGUGAUCGAAUGAAGGCCUUCGGGUUGUAAAGAUCUGUUGACAGGGACGAAUAAGCAAUGCAAAUAGUUUUGUGUAUGACGGUACUUGUUUAGAAAGCUCCGGCUAACUACGUGCCAGCAGCCGCGGUAAUACGUAGGGAGCAAGCGUUGUCCGGAAUUACUGGGCGUAAAGGGAGCGUAGGUGGGCGAUUAAGUCAGGUGUGAAAGCUCCGGGCUCAACCGGGAGACUGCACUUGAUACUGGGUGUCUUGAGGGCAGGAGAGGAAGGUGGAAUUCCUAGUGUAGCGGUGAAAUGCUUAGAUAUUACGAGGAACACCGGUUGCGAAGGCGACUUUCUGGACUGUCCCUGACGUUGAGGCGCGAAAGCGUGGGUAGCGAACGGGAUUAGAUACCCUUGUAGUC